rnacentral:rRNA from 1 species
UGCAAGUCGAGCGGUAGAGAGAAGCUUGCUUCUCUUGAGAGCGGCGGACGGGUGAGUAAUGCCUAGGAAUCUGCCUGGUAGUGGGGGAUAACGUAGCGAAAGUUACGCUAAUACCGCAUACGAUCUAAGGAUGAAAGUGGGGGAUCGCAAGACCUCAUGCUCGUGGAGCGGCCGAUAUCUGAUUAGCUAGUUGGUAGGGUAAAAGCCUACCAAGGCAUCGAUCAGUAGCUGGUCUGAGAGGACGACCAGCCACACUGGAACUGAGACACGGUCCAGACUCCUACGGGAGGCAGCAGUGGGGAAUUUUGGACAAUGGACGCAAGUCUGAUCCAGCCAUGCCGCGUGCGGGAAGAAGGCCUUCGGGUUGUAAACCGCUUUUGUCAGGGAAGAAACGGCUUUUUCUAAUACAGAGAGCUAAUGACGGUACCUGAAGAAUAAGCACCGGCUAACUACGUGCCAGCAGCCGCGGUAAUACGUAGGGUGCAAGCGUUAAUCGGAAUUACUGGGCGUAAAGCGUGCGCAGGCGGUUAUGCAAGACAGAUGUGAAAUCCCCGGGCUCAACCUGGGAACUGCAUUUGUGACUGCAUAGCUAGAGUACGGUAGAGGGGGAUGGAAUUCCGCGUGUAGCAGUGAAAUGCGUAGAUAUGCGGAGGAACACCGAUGGCGAAGGCAAUCCCCUGGACCUGUACUGACGCUCAUGCACGAAAGCGUGGGGAGCAAACAGGAUUAGAUACCCUGGUAGUCCACGCCCUAAACGAUGUCAACUGGUUGUUGGGAGGGUUUCUUCUCAGUAACGAAGCUAACGCGUGAAGU